rnacentral:rRNA from 1 species
GACGUAGGGGGCCAGCGUUGCUCGGAAUUACUGGGCGUAAAGGGUCCGUAGGCGGUGCGGUAAGUCGGGAGUGAAAUCUCUGGGCUUAACUCAGAGGCUGCUUCCGAAACUGCCGUGCUAGAGUGCGAGAGAGGCAAGUGGAAUUGCGGGUGUAGCGGUGAAAUGCGUAGAUAUCCGCAGGAACAUCCGAGGCGAAAGCGGCUUGCUGGAUCGCAACUGACGCUGAGGGACGAAAGCUAGGGGAGCAAACAGG